rnacentral:lncRNA from 1 species
GUCUGAAUAAAGGAGUUCCCCAGUUUUCCUACUGAAGUGAAACGGCCCUCUUGCUUGCUCACCUGAGGAGAUAGCACUGAAUACUCCCCGCAGGCUCUGUGAAGUCCGUGGCUUCAUGGAAACCUCUGCACUACUACACGAUUAGGAGGGAAUACAAGUAAUGAGAGAACAGAACAGGCAUUGCCGAUCUGCAGAGAGAAAUGUUUAGGUAUGAUGCGUCCUGGAUCAGGACCCAAAUGCAUGGCAUGAGUUUUUUUGAGGCUCUGCUAGCAAGCCUGGGAACGACUGUGAYGCUUUCUGUGCCAUUCAGGAUGACAGAAGAUUUAUGCCUGGGGCGUCUGCACAGACAGCCGCUCAGAGGGCUGGAGAUCCAAGCGUAAAGUCACACUUUUGAGGGAUGCUGUGUGCCUUUCCCGUGGAUGCCCACCGGUGUCCUGACACCACAGACCAAAGCAGCUCUUACUUCCCAGUCUGGUGCCCUCCCAGGGYGCAGGCAGAGCCAUGGCUGUGGUGCUGCGGGCUGUUGCUCGGCGGUGGCAAGCUGACACAAAGCAGCAAGUCUUCAUCCUGCCAUACAGAUGUGCACAGAUGUGCUAGACCUUAGCCGUGACCCGGUUGCUCAGCCCUGGUCCACGGGUGGCUGUCGCUGGAGGGUGCCUCCUCCGCUCCGCUCCCAGCAGCCCUGCAACGCGUCGGCGCGUGGCCCCUCGCCCAGCGCCGCGGCYGGGAGCGCGCCGGGCCGCCACUGCCCUUCCCCCGGCCGCCGUCGGCAGCUUGGGGGGCUUUUUUGGUGUCACCCGCUUGCCACCUCAGCCUGGUGCCACCAGCUCCUCCCGCCUGAACACGGCCAAGCAGGAGCAACCAUCGCCCCCUAAGAGCUGGAUUGCCGGUGGAGGGCCCAGAGCCGAAGCCUUCAGCGGGGUGAGGACGACCGCGUGGGUCCCACGGAGCCGGGGGAGCUGCCUCCGUGCAACGGGGCCCUGUCCUCCGCGGUGCCUCCCUGCCCGGCACGUUCAGCCCACGGUUCCCGGGAUGCCGCGGGCUGGGACUGGCGCGUCCCGCGCAGGGAYGGAGAGCGGCUCUGUGCCGAGGGCUGGCGACCGCGGAGACGCUGCCCGAGACGCUGCUGGUCCCGAGCAGYUGAAGCGAAAGAGCUUUCCGAGCUAUGCUGCCUGCGCGAGGCGUGUGCUGGCGCCCCGCUCCCGGCCUGUCGAUGGGCUAAGGGCGGCUCACCUUCAUCACCCCCCCCCCCCCCAUAAAUGUGUGCGCUUGGUUAAUCGUUCCUGUGCUCUGUAAUGGCGCUUGGUCAACUCCACGGCCCUUUGGCUGCGCUUCCCGCGGAGCCGGUCUGCACUGUCGUAGGGCUGGGAUCUGUUCUUUAAUUAAGUCCGAUGAAGCACAGGGUAUGUGAGAUGUAAAUACACCUCUUCUGUGCGAGUGGGAGAGGGUUAAAUCUGCUGGCACUACGUGAACGUAGAUUUAUGUGCGAUGCCCUUUAAUACCGAUUUUGGGGAGGGAACAAACUGGGAAUGACAUACGGGGGGGGAGGAUUGCAAAUUGAUUACUUGGCUGUUUGAACAGAGACAAUAAAUCUUGAAAUGGUCACA